rnacentral:sRNA from 1 species
GGGGGUGCACCGGUUUCGACAGGGCGGGCAAUGGUGAGCAGGCAACCCGAGAGGCGACGGACGUAAUCCGCGCAAAUCCACAAACGCCAACGAUGAGCGUUUCGCUGUAGCCGCUUAAGGCAACAGCCGGGGCCGCCUGAGCCCUGUUACCAAAGACGGCUGGCGGGGGCUUCGGCCCCCGCUUCAC